UASCUGGCGGCAGGCCUAACACAUGCAAGUCGAGCGGUAGCACAGAGAGCUUGCUCUCGGGUGACGAGCGGCGGACGGGUGAGUAAUGUCUGGGAAACUGCCUGAUGGAGGGGGAUAACUACUGGAAACGGUAGCUAAUACCGCAUAACGUCGCAAGACCAAAGUGGGGGACCUUCGGGCCUCAUGCCAUCAGAUGUGCCCAGAUGGGAUUAGCUAGUAGGUGGGGUAACGGCUCACCUAGGCGACGAUCCCUAGCUGGUCUGAGAGGAUGACCAGCCACACUGGAACUGAGACACGGUCCAGACUCCUACGGGAGGCAGCAGUGGGGAAUAUUGCACAAUGGGCGCAAGCCUGAUGCAGCCAUGCCGCGUGUGUGAAGAAGGCCUUCGGGUUGUAAAGCACUUUCAGCGGGGAGGAAGGCGNUAAGGUUAAUAACCUUGUCGAUUGACGUUACCCGCAGAAGAAGCACCGGCUAACUCCGUGCCAGCAGCCGCGGUAAUACGGAGGGUGCAAGCGUUAAUCGGAAUUACUGGGCGUAAAGCGCACGCAGGCGGUCUGUCAAGUCGGAUGUGAAAUCCCCGGGCUCAACCUGGGAACUGCAUUCGAAACUGGCAGGCUAGAGUCU
rnacentral:rRNA from 1 species